GCGGGGCUGUGAGGCCCGACAGGAGCAUUUCCCCGGGGCCUUAACGAUCCCAAGGGAGCUGUACCUGCCCAGGUCCGUGGACCUGGGCAUACGGCGCCCACCUACUUUGUAGGUUUCCCGGGAUCGCACUCCAUCGGCCAUUGUGGCUCCGCA
rnacentral:other from 1 species